rnacentral:lncRNA from 1 species
GGAAACUGUGCAUAAAGCCACACUUCACCUUUCUCCGUGAGGCUCUGCUGUUUCCUGGUUGUCUUUUCAACUGUUCACAGCUGGAGUGGAAGGGAAGGCAGGGAAAGGGCAUUAUCUUCAAAGCGACUGAACUUCCCCCAUGUUCGUCCUCCAAGGGGACUCUACUGUCUGACUGACCAAAGCAGACAACUGUGGCUCAGAUCUGCUAUGAAGAUUACAGUCGGAGAAACCUUGGUCCUAACAAGAAAGCGUCAGGAUCCUCGAGUACAAAGCUUAUUUUGUAAUCAAGGUGUGGUCUGAGGACCCGCUGCGUUGGCACCGCCCAGGAGCAUGAUUGACGUGCAGAACCUCGACUGGCCACACCACCCAGUCCUACUGAAUCAGAGCCUAUACCUGAAACAGAUCACUGGAGGUUUUGCGCACAUGUUGAAGUUCUAAAAGCAAGACUCAAGAGCAACCGGGACAAAAGGAAGAUAUGAGGAAGGUUGGGUGAGUGGGUUUAGAAAUAUAAGAGCUGGGGGCUGGAGAGAUGGCUCAGCCGUUAAGAUCACUGACUGCUCUUCCGAAAUUCCUGAGUUCAAAUCCCAGCAACCACAUGGUGGCUCGCAACCAUUGGUAAUGAGAUCUGACACCCUUUUCUGGUGCAUCUGAAGACAGCUACAGUGUACUUAGAUAUAAUAAUAAAUA